rnacentral:rRNA from 1 species
CUACUGAGAGGAAAGCAUCUUUAUGGUAUACCUCUAAGAUAGGGAGGAUAAUGACGUUACCUAUUUAUUAAUCCCGACCAAUCUCGUGCCAGCAGUCGCGGUAAUACGAGAGGGGUUAACGUUUUUCAGCAUAAAUGGGUCUAAAGCGUAUGUAGGUUGUAUUAUCAAACAGUAGUUAUAAAAUUUCAAUAGAAAAACUAUAAAAUGUAAUUGAGAUACUAGAGUGUAAUUGAAGAUAGAGGAAUACUAGGAGUAAGGAUGAAAUCUUAUUAUACUUGGUAGACACACUAAAGGCGAAGGCAUCUAUCUAAUUAAACACUGACACUGAGAUACUAAAGUAUGGGGAGCAAAAAGGAUUAGAGACCCUUGUAGUCCAUACCCUAAACUAUGAGUGGAUAAAAUUGGAAAUAAUUUCAGUUUUAAUGUGAAGACUAUACCACUCCACCUGGGGAGUACUGUCGCAAGAUUGAAACCCAAAAGUAUUGACGGUGCUGAAGACCAGCAGUGAAGCAUGUUAUUUAAUUCGAUAAUCCACGCAUAACCUUACCACUUCUUGCAAUGUACCAAUAUAAUUGGUAACACAGGCGUUGCAUGGCUGUCGUCAGCUUGUAUCGUAAGACGUUAGAUUAAUUUCGUUAACAAGCAAAACCCUUGUCUGUAAUUAUAAAAAUUAAAAAUAAGCAGGUUCUGUCCUCGGAUGGAAUUUUGUAUAAAGUUUAAUUUAAACUACAGAAGUACUCGAUUAAUGU